CAGUAGGGAAUGCAAUUCACUGAAGCCUGAAACUACCUAAUAUGAACAAAUAAGUAAUCUCGCUUGGAGAAAUUGAACUUUACAAAUAACUUUGGUUCUCCAAUCAAUUUUUAUAUGAAGCCACCAACGAUGCUAUCUUAUUCAAUAAUUUUGUUGCACUGUCAUCACCAAUGUUAUUUUUAGAUAGAGGUGAAGUCCAUUCCUGAAAAUUAUG
rnacentral:misc_RNA from 1 species